rnacentral:lncRNA from 1 species
GUUUGGUACAUACAGAGGUACAGGACUGAUACUUGGCUUGAAACUAAAGGGACUAAUUCAUUUAUGACUUAUUGGAUAUUUACAUUGCACCCACAGACUCGCAGGUUCCUGCUCCUAAGGAGUCAGUGGCCUAGGAGAGGACAAAAGAUUGGUUCAAAUGGCAAAAGGAUCAUUGUUUCUCACAUUUCCCUUCCCCAAAUUGAGAAAUAGUUUUCUUAGCUUGUUUUCAGGCAAUCAUGGCAGAAGGAAAACAACAUGCUUUAUGUGUGGGCGUCAUGAAGAUGUCUGCAGAAGAUAUUGAGAAAGUCAACAAAGGAAUUGGCAUUGAAAAUAUCCAUUAUCUAAAUGAUGGGCUGUGGCAUAUGAAGACAUAUAAAUGAGCUUCCAAAGGAAUGUGCUUGGGCUAACUAUAGAUACUGUGCUGUAUCUGUCUCUGUGUCUGUAUGACAGCAUGAAGACAAUGCCUCUAUGGUUAUGCUGAAUAAAAAUUCUGUGAAUGCUAAAA